UACGUAGGGUGCGAGCGUUGUCCGGAAUUAUUGGGCGUAAAGAGCUCGUAGGCGGUGUGUCACGUCGGCCGUGAAAACCUGCAGCUUAACUGUGGGCGUGCGGUCGAUACGGGCAUCACUGGAGUUCGGCAGGGGAGACUGGAAUUCCUGGUGUAGCGGUGAAAUGCGCAGAUAUCAGGAGGAACACCGAUGGGCGAAGGCAGGUCUCUGGGCCGUAACUGACGCUGGAGGAGCGGAAAGCGUGGGGAGCGAACAGG
rnacentral:rRNA from 1 species